rnacentral:misc_RNA from 1 species
GAUGAAGAACGCAGCGAAAUGCGAUAAGUAAUGUGAAUUGCAGAAUUCCGUGAAUCAUCGAAUCUUUGAACGCAUAUUGCGCCCUCUGGCAUUCCGGAGGGCAUGCCUGUUCGAGCGUCAUUUCACCACUCAAGCCUCGCUUGGUAUUGGGCAACGCGGUCCGCCGCGUGCCUCAAAUCGACCGGCUGGGUCUUCUGUCCCCUAAGCGUUGUGGAAACUAUUCGCUAAAGGGUGUUCGGGAGGCUACGCCGUAAAACAACCCCAUUUCUAAGGUUGACCUCGGAUCAGGUAGGGAUACCCGCUGAACUUAAGCAUAUCAAUAAGCGGAGGA